UUCUUGUUUUUACACAGAGUUUGGAGAGAACAUCAGAAGAGACCAGAGUCUGAUAUUCCCAGUGUUCCGUUUGCUCAGAAUUAUCCAGUGGACCUGUCCUCAAUAUUCAGGGAGUUUCAGUAUGUGUUUGAGAGAGUAGCUGAGCAAGGAAACCCAACACUUCUAAAGAAGAUCUACACAGAGCUCUACAUUACAGAGGGGGAAAGUGGAGAGGUCAACAUCAAGUGAGACAGAUUGAGACAUCAUCAAAGAAACCAGCGACACAGAUGCCUGCAGGCUCAGAUUGGACCUUUCUGUAUGAGAACAGAAUAGUGACAUGGGUGGGAGAGAAGCAGCCAUAUCCUGACCACCCAGAAAGGUUGGAGCACUCACAAUGUGCUGCGUAGAGAGAGUCUGACUGGAUGCUGCUCCUGGGGGACAGAAUGAAGAGGAUGGGCUCAUGUAGGAGUGACAUAUGAAAGGAUCYGAAGGAAAGGAGAGCAUGAUGACUAUCUCCAUGGCUACUAUGACAAAUCCUGGAUUCUAAAGUGCCCUGGUGGCAAUUAUACUGCCUGUCARAAUAGGAAGAAUACUGACAUGCAUGUCUUCUAUUCUCGCUCCGACACAGUAGGAGUGCAUCUGGACAGAGUCUAUUGUAACACACUGAUCCACCUUUACACAAAAUACCUGACAGUCACUGAGCCUCUCUACCCAGGGGUUCGGGUUGGCGCUCACUCCUCAGUGUCCCUGUGRCAGGUAGAACUCCGCGUCCUGUGUCCAGAAGGAACAUCUUCAGGAAAGUCACACUCCUGUUCAAACACAACUGUGGGACAUGAUGGGGCACUUUUUGCUGUCAUCAUGGCAGACAGCGGGGCGUUGUACUUGUCUAGUCCAUUCAGUGCAGAUUUGAAUAACCCCUUUCGCAAAGAGACACCUUUUACAAGGURGAUUUGUCUGGAGACAUGGGUUGGACAUGUAGCCUCGGGAGGUACGGUGCUGAAGGUG